AUUGAACGCUAGCGGGAUGCUUUACACAUGCAAGUCGAACGGCAGCGCGGACUUCGGUCUGGCGGCGAGUGGCGAACGGGUGAGUAAUGUAUCGGAACGUGCCCAGUAGCGGGGGAUAACUACGCGAAAGCGUAGCUAAUACCGCAUACGCCCUACGGGGGAAAGCAGGGGAUCGUAAGACCUUGCACUAUUGGAGCGGCCGAUAUCGGAUUAGCUAGUUGGUGAGGUAACGGCUUACCAAGGCGACGAUCCGUAGCUGGUUUGAGAGGACGACCAGCCACACUGGGACUGAGACACGGCCCAGACUCCUACGGGAGGCAGCAGUGGGGAAUUUUGGACAAUGGGGGCAACCCUGAUCCAGCCAUCCCGCGUGUGCGAUGAAGGCCUUCGGGUUGUAAAGCACUUUUGGCAGGAAAGAAACGUCGCGGGCUAAUACCCCGUGGAUCUGACGGUACCUGCAGAAUAAGCACCGGCUAACUACGUG
rnacentral:rRNA from 1 species